rnacentral:rRNA from 1 species
UGGGGAAUAUUGGACAAUGGGCGAAAGCCUGAUCCAGCCAUGCCGCGUGUGUGAAGAAGGUCUUCGGAUUGUAAAGCACUUUAAGUUGGGAGGAAGGGCAUUAACCUAAUACGUUAGUGUUUUGACGUUACCGACAGAAUAAGCACCGGCUAACUCUGUGCCAGCAGCCGCGGUAAUACAGAGGGUGCAAGCGUUAAUCGGAAUUACUGGGCGUAAAGCGCGCGUAGGUGGUUUGGUAAGUUGGAUGUGAAAUCCCCGGGAUCAACCUGGGAACUGCAUUCAAAACUGACUGACUAGAGUAUGGUAGAGGGUGGUGGAAUUUCCUGUGUAGCGGUGAAAUGCGUAGAUAUAGGAAGGAACACCAGUGGCGAAGGCGACCACCUGGACUAAUACUGACACUGAGGUGCGAAAGCGUGGGGAGCAAACA